ACGAACGCUGGCGGCGUGCUUAACACAUGCAAGUCGAACGGUGAAGCGCCUUCCUUUUUGGUGGGUGUGGAUGAGUGGCGAACGGGUGAGUAACACGUGAGUAACCUGCCCCCUUCUUCUGGAUAACCGCAUGAAAGUGUGGCUAAUACGGGAUAUUCUGGGUCUGUCGCAUGAUGGGUCUGGGAAAGAUAUUGUUUCGGUGGGGGAUGGGCUCGCGGCCUAUCAGCUUGUUGGUGGGGUGAUGGCCUACCAAGGCGGUGACGGGUAGCCGGCCUGAGAGGGUGGACGGUCACACUGGGACUGAGACACGGCCCAGACUCCUACGGGAGGCAGCAGUGGGGAAUAUUGCACAAUGGGCGCAAGCCUGAUGCAGCGACGCCGCGUGAGGGAUGGAGGCCUUCGGGUUGUGAACCUCUUUCGCUAGUGAAGCAGGCCUGCCUCGUUUGUGGGUGGGUUGACGGUAGCUGGAUAAGAAGCGCCGGCUAACUACGUG
rnacentral:rRNA from 1 species